rnacentral:rRNA from 1 species
GCCAACGUCCAUACCACGUUGAAAACACCGGUUCUCGUCCGAUCACCGAAGUCAAGCAAAGUCAGGCGUAGUCAGUAUUUCCGGUCAUCGUUUUCG